rnacentral:rRNA from 1 species
AUUGAACGCUGGCGGCAUGCCUUACACAUGCAAGUCGAACGGCAGCACGGGAGCAAUCCUGGUGGCGAGUGGCGAACGGGUGAAUAAUGUAUCGGAACGUACCUUCAGGUGGGGGAUAACGUAGCGAAAGUUACGCUAAUACCGCAUAUUCUGUGAGCAGGAAAGCAGGGGAUCGCAAGACCUUGCGCUGAUUGAGCGGCCGAUAUCAGAUUAGCUAGUUGGUGAGGUAAAGGCUCACCAAGGCGACGAUCUGUAGCGGGUCUGAGAGGAUGAUCCGCCACACUGGAACUGAGACACGGUCCAGACUCCUACGGGAGGCAGCAGUGGGGAAUUUUGGACAAUGGGCGCAAGCCUGAUCCAGCCAUGCCGCGUGAGUGAAGAAGGCCUUCGGGUUGUAAAGCUCUUUCAGACGGAAAGAAAACGCAUCGGUGAAUACCCGGUGUGGAUGACGGUACCGUAAGAAGAAGCACCGGCUAACUACGUG